rnacentral:rRNA from 1 species
UACAGAGGGUGCGAGCGUUGUCCGGAAUCACUGGGCGUAAAGGGCGCGUAGGCGGCUUGAUAAGCGUGCGGUGAAAGCCCGGGGCUCAACCCCGGGUCGGCCGUGCGAACUGUCGAGCUGGAGCACUGUAGAGGCAGGUGGAAUUCCGGGUGUAGCGGUGGAAUGCGUAGAGAUCCGGAAGAACACCGGUGGCGAAGGCGGCCUGCUAGGCAGUGGCUGACGCUGAGGCGCGACAGCGUGGGGAGCAAACAGG